rnacentral:rRNA from 1 species
AACGAACGCUGGCGGCAGGCUUAACACAUGCGUGUCGAGCGCCCCGCAAGGGGAGCGGCAGACGGGUGAGUAACGCGUGGGAACAUACCCUUUCCUGCGGAAUAGCUCCGGGAAACUGGAAUUAAUACCGCAUACGCCCUACGGGGGAAAGAUUUAUGGGGGAAGGAUUGGCCCGCGUUGGAUUAGCUAGUUGGUGGGGUAAAGGCCUACCAAGGCGACGAUCCAUAGCUGGUCUGAGAGGAUGAUCAGCCACUUUGGGACUGAGACACGGCCCAACCUCCUACGGGAGGCAGCAGUGGGGAAUAUUGGAAAAGGGGCGAAAGCUUGAUCCAGCCUUGCCCCGUGAUGGAUGAGGGCCUUAGGGUUGUAAACCUCUUUCACCGGAAAAUAUAAUGCCGGUACCGGGAAAAGAAGCCCCGGCUAACUUCGUGCCAGCCCCCGCCGCGG